UACGGGGGGGAGCAAGCGUUGUUCGGAUUUACUGGGCGUAAAGGGCGCGUAGGCGGCCACCGCAAGUCGACUGUGAAAUCUCCGGGCUUAACUCGGAAAGGUCAACUGAAACUGUGCGACUAGAGUGCGGAAGGGGCAACUGGAAUUCUUGGUGUAGCGGUGAAAUGCGUAGAUAUCAAGAGGAACACCUGCGGCGAAGGCGGGUUGCUGGGCCGACACUGACGCUGAAGCGCGAAAGCCAGGGGAGCGAACGGG
rnacentral:rRNA from 1 species